CCUCUGUUAUCUUUGAAAACCCACAAAUUUUCUUUUUUAAAAAAAAAGUGACGAAAAUCUUAAAAAAAAUUGCAAUUGUUUCAAACUUUUGAAACUAAGUGCCUGAAAAUAGCUCAAUCCAAUAGUUUUUUCCUUCGAUGGUCUUCAUUCCAUUAACAAUUUUUUGUGGAUUGCUUCUCCUUUUCUCGUGAUUUUUUGUUGUUUAAUUGCACUAUAUUCUGAAUUUUUAAUUUGGAAUAUAUGCCAUGUCUCUCCUCUCUAUGCAAUAAUGGGUUACUGAUUUUGGCCAUUUGUAUCAGUCUAGGACAUUUUUUCGGUAUUGGGUAUUCAUAAGUCAAGCAUGGAAUUCUUGUUUAUGUGUUAAGCCUUAUGGAAUGUUUGUUAUAUGCUUACAAUGUAUUUCACCAGACAAUGAAUAUGUUUAUUCUCCUCAUGGUGUUUAUUCUUAGAUAAUUUUAGUUCAUACAUUAUUACUUAAAAAAUUAGUUUUCCAUAUACAUCUGUGAACUGGUCUUCAUACUUCAUUGUGUGUUGCCAUAAUUGUUACCCUUUAUACAUGUCUUUCUAGUUGUGCAUAUACAUCUGUUUUGGUGCUAUAUUCUUUUCUGAUAUUAUUGUGUUCUUAAUAUGAUCAUGUCUUUCUAUUAUGAAUGUCUAUUUCAAACUAUAGUGGUUUCCUUAAUAUAGGUCAUAGGAACUAUAGUAUUUCAACUGUUUUUGAACAAUUUGCUAUUCUUUUUUCAGUAGAUCAUCUAUGUUGAGGGUGAAAAUCAAGAUAUGAGAACAGUAGAGAUGUCAUUGUGACCCCAUAGGGCCUCAUCCCCUAAACAUAAAAACUACUUCGUCAGUUUGGGUAGAUUCUGAAAAAAUUACAGAUGUAGAGGGUAUUCUAAAAUCUGUUUUGUAAAUAUUGUAAGAAGCAGCUAGAUGGGGCUAGUCAACAUGGGACUAGCCAUUUGAAAAAACACUAAAUGACAUGUCUUAGGAGCGUGCAUUUAGGUCCAGGUCAAAAAAUGAAAAUGGCUUCUUUUGAGAAAGGGGAAGGGGUUUAAGCAAUUAUAAAUUUGUGAAAGAGCGAAGUAGAAGUGAUCUAGCAAAAGUGAUUGUCUUGCAUGAGUACCCUUUUUAGUUGUGGAGCAUAUUGGUUUUAAGACUUUUGUGAAAAAUCUGCAACCAUUAUUUAAGAUGGUUAGUCGCAAUACCAUAAAAUAUGAUCUUGAAAAUCUACAGAAAAGAAAUGAAGAAAUUGCAUGAGGUUUUAGACAAGAUCCCUAGUCAUAUUAGUCUCACCACAAACAUAUGGUCAUCAUGUUGUAACUAAUAUUAUCUAUGCUUGACUGCCCAUUAUAUUGAUGAUGCAUGACUUUUUGCAAAAAAUAAUCCGUAGUUUUAUAUAUGUGUCAUCUCCUAAUACUGGGGAUGUUAUUGCUACUGUUCUCAUGGAUUUAUUUAUGCAAUGGAAUAUUGAAAAUAAAUUGUUUUAGUGUAACUUUGGACAAGGCAUUAUACAAUGACAUAGCUGCAUCAUCUCUAGUUACUCAAUUAUCUCUAAAGCCCUCACUUGUAUUUGAUGGUAAGAUGUUCUACGUCCAUUGUUGUGCCAUAUUCUAAAUUAUAUUGUACACAAGAUAAAGAUAAUUGACAAGAUCUGAGAUAUUAUCAAGUUCAUUAAGGGUGUGUUUGAUAAUAGGAAGUGUCUUCCUGGAAGUUGAGAACUUCUUAGUACUCUUCAACUUUCGUGUUUGAUAAAAAAUGAUAACUUCAAAUAAGAACUUCAAUUUAUUGUUCAUCUUCUUACGUCCCUUUGUAAAAAAAAGUUUCGACCCAAAGGUCAGAACUUAAAAUUGGAAGUUCGUAACUCCUCCCCUUCAAUAACCCUAGCCCCUUUUCUCUUCUUCGCCGCUGAGCACCCACCCUGCUGAGCACCCCUCUCUUCGUAGCUUCCCAUCUUCGCCGUUGAGCACCCCUCUCGUUGCAGCUUCCCAUAUUCGCCACUGAGCACCCCUCUCUUCACAGCACGACCCCUCUCUUCUGUUCUUCGAGUUCAGCUGCUGAGCCAGCCCUCUAUUCCCAGCACGCCACUAUCUCAGGCAAACCCCUUUCUUUGCAUGCAGCCCUCGCUAGGGUUUACUCAGCUGUCCUUGAACUCUGAUCCUUGCCAUUGAUCUUGAGAAGUCCAGGUCGAAUCUAGCUCAUCCUCAUCUAAUGACUCAGUAUCAUCUGGAUCAAAAAGACGACGGUCCCAUACUCCGGUAGGAACACAUCGCCGAUCAAAGCAGCCUACUUUCACUGACUCGAUAAUUAAAGCCAUGCCAGAGAUAGCCCAUAGCAUUACGAUGCUAACACGUGACACCGCAGGUAACAGUCCGUCCAAGGCUCGGAGAGAGGCCUCAAAGAUUCUUGAAGCCAUGUGGAGAGCUGGUGAAGUUGGUGAUAAUGUUUUUGUAAUGGCAGCAAGGAUCUUCCAAGAUUCUACAAAGGCGGAAAUAUUAAUAAACUUGGAGGAUCGAAGGAUACAAAUGGCUUAAUUGGAUGAAGCGAUGAAACACCUCUAAAUAUUUGAUUGACUCUGUUUACUUUAUGGUUUGCAUAUUAUAAAUAGGGUGCGGUUUGUAAAUAGGGUGCGGUUUGUAUAGAGCCUAGGCUCUAAACAAUCAAAUUAGAGCCUAUCUACAAAUUUAGUUUCAAUAGUGGAAAUAUUUGUGAUAGCAUGAAAA